GAUGAACGCUGGCGGCGUGCCUAAUACAUGCAAGUCGAGCGAACAGACGAGGAGCUUGCUCCUCUGACGUUAGCGGCGGACGGGUGAGUAACACGUGGAUCACCUACCUAUAAGACUGGGAUAACUUCGGGAAACCGGAGCUACUACCGGAUAAUAUAUUGAACCGCAUGGUUCAAUAGUUAAAGACGGUUUUGCUGUCACUUAUAGAUGGAUCGGGGCUGCAUUAGCUAGUUGGUAAGGUAACGGCUUACCAAGGCAACGAUGCGUAGCCGACCUGAGAGGGUGAUCGGCCACACUGGAACUGAGACACGGUCCAGACUCCUACGGGAGGCAGCAGUAGGGAAUCUUCCGCAAUGGGCGAAAGCCUGACGGAGCAACGCCGCGUGAGUGAUGAAGGUCUUCGGAUCGUAAAACUCUGUUAUUAGGGAAGAACAAAUGUGUAAGUAACUAUGCACGUCUUGACGGUACCUAAUCAGAAAGCCACGGCUAACUACGUG
rnacentral:rRNA from 1 species